rnacentral:lncRNA from 13 species
AUGAAUAAAGUGCAUGGGAGCCAGAGUACGGAAGUAUUUCAAGAGAGAGAAAGCAGAUGUGGCACUCCUGGCCACCCCCAACACACAUACAAGAUAAAGGACGAGUGCACACAGAUGCACACAGAUGGCUCCCGUCCAGGCCACUCAGCGGCUGAAAGUGAAUGUGAUUCCUGCAUUCUCUCCAAGCAGAUCAUCAGUGAUGAAGCACGCAGUAAAUAACCCUCCCUCCCUUGAAGUGAAGACAGGCUGUGGGGGAGAACUGGCUCCAUUAAAGGCUUCAAGCCACAGGAGUCAUUUUCUCCGGAGAUGAUGAACGUGGGCUGAAAAGAGAGACAAGAGCCACCUACUUGAUGCAGCUUUUUACCCCAAGCUGCCAAAAGUCCUUUACUCUCAAAUACAUUCAUCAAGAGAGAGCUGGAAAUGGCAUCCCUUGCCAUAGAUCUGUGGUUUAUUGUUAUUGUUUUCACACAGUAUCUACUAAAAGCCUGCUGUAUACCCAGCCCAUAUGUAACUCACCAAAUUUUGAGCAUAUCUUUUUUUGACUGUGUCCAACUGUCCGGUUCUUUGUAAGAUCCUUGAGAAAGAGGAAUGAGCCUUUUCUUCUUUGUAGUUUUGGCCUCUCAGCCAAGGCCUGGCAAAGAGUGUACAUCAAUUAAUGUUGGUUGAAUGGAUGAAUAGAAAUGAAUGGAUGAGUGGGUGGGUGGAUGGAUGGAUGGAUGGAUGGAUGGACGGGUGGACCAAUCAGUCAAUAGGUCUCCCCACUUUUAAGCUCCUAUAUGUCAAAGUUCCCUGGCAUUGUGACUGUCACAUCAAUUAAGUUCCUGACAUCCAUCUGUUUGGAUGAUAAGCUUGGAGAAAUACCUGGGGACAGAGUUCCUUGCUUCUCUGAUGCCACAUGUGGAAUGUUCUUUGCCAAAUGCACUGUUUAUCACUGAACGCUACGCUUCCUGAUAUCUUAUUCCAUUUAUAGAUUCUGGCUCUGGAGUGUAAGAUUUUAUUUUUUGAAUUAAAAUGUGAUAAGAGACCUUUCGGUUCCCAGAGUUUCUUCUCUGUCUGUAGGUCAGAAGUUAUUGGCGAGAGUCCCAGUAUCUCCCUUGAGUUACUUGCAUGCGUCUGCUAACCAAAUCUUCUUAGCCUUCAAACCAAAUGAUG